UGCGCCAUCUGUUAAGGACCGCUCAUGAGUGUUCUCAUUUUUUCACACACCAUCUGUUAUGGACCUUAGAUGUCAAUACACUGUCUUGUCCACUGUGGGGCGUGAAGGAAGGAAAUUGCAAGAACCUGUUCUUUCAGUCCUUGGACCCUAUCUUGGUAUAUGGCACCAUAUUUACCAGGAUAAUUAUUACAAUGCUACAUCUACUGCUGAAUUGCUGCUACAGAACAAAACUAGAGUCUGUGGGACUAUUAGGGAGAGUAGAGGUUUACCGCCAAAUUUGAAAAUGAAAACAUCAAGAAUGAAGAAAGGUGACAUAAUAUUUUCCAGAAAAGGCAAUAUUCUUCUUCUAACAUGGAAAGACAAGCGGGUUGUCCAAAUGAUAUCAACGAUCCAUGACACUUCUGUCUCGACAACAGGAAAAAGAAAAUAGAAAAACGGGAGAGAAUAUUGUAAAACCUACCUGCAUCAAGGAAUACAAUGCCCACAUGAAAGGCGUUGACCGUGCGGAUCAAUUCCUUUCAUGUUGUUCCAUUCUAAGGAAAACGAUGAAAUGGACAAAAAAAAAA